rnacentral:tRNA from 1 species
GUCUUCGUGGCUCAGUUGGUUAGAGCGUUGGUCUCAUAUUUUCGUAUGACUCGGUGGUGUACCAUUGAGAUAUCCAAUCCAAAGGUCGUGAGUUCGAGUCUCACCGAGGACA